rnacentral:snRNA from 1 species
GUGCUCGCUUCAGCAGCACAUAUACUAAAAUUGGAAUGAUACAGAGAAGAUUAGCAUGGCCCCUGCGCAAGGAUGACACACAGAUUCAUGAAGAAAAUAAAAAAUAG